UCUUGAUUCCUUCCAUCUUG
rnacentral:misc_RNA from 1 species